UGGGGAAUAUUGCACAAUGGGGGAAACCCUGAUGCAGCAACGCCGCGUGAGUGAAGAAGUAUUUCGGUAUGUAAAGCUCUAUCAGCAGGGAAGAUAAUGACGGUACCUGACUAAGAAGCUCCGGCUAAAUACGUGCCAGCAGCCGCGGUAAUACGUAUGGAGCAAGCGUUAUCCGGAUUUACUGGGUGUAAAGGGUGCGUAGGUGGCAGUCCAAGUCAGAUGUGAAAGGCCGGGGCUCAACCCCGGAGCUGCAUUUGAAACGGCAUAGCUGGAGUACAGGAGAGGCAGGCGGAAUUCCUAGUGUAGCGGUGAAAUGCGUAGAUAUUAGGAGGAACACCAGUGGCGAAGGCGGCCUGCUGGACUGUUACUGACACUGAGGCACGAAAGCGUGGGGAGCAAACAG
rnacentral:rRNA from 1 species